GCGGGGGUAGCCUAGUGGUAUGGCGCAGGCCUGCUAAGCCUGUGGCGCGUAUGCGUCGCGCGGGUUCGAAUCCCGCCCCCCGCG
rnacentral:tRNA from 1 species